rnacentral:lncRNA from 1 species
GUUUUGUUCCCUUGCUGGUGAGGAGUUGUGAUCCUUUGAAGGAGAAGAGGUGUUCUGGUUUUUGGGAUUUUCAGCCGUUUUGUGCUAGUUUCUCCCCAAUCUUCAUGGAUUUAUCUACGUUUGGUCUUUGAAGUCGGUGACCUUCGGAGGGGGUCUCUGAGUGGACGUCCUUUUUGUUGAUGUUGAUACUAUUCCUUUCUGUUUAUUAGUUUUCCUUCUAACAGUCUGGUCCCCUGCUACAGGUCUGCUGGAGUUUGCUGGAGAUCCGUUCCAGAUCCUGUUUGCCUGGGUAUCCCCGGUGGAGGGUGCAGAACCACAAAGAUUGCUGCCUGUUCCUUCCUCUGGAAGCUUCAUCCCAGAGGAGCACCUGCCAGAUGCCAGUCAGAGCUCUCCUGUAUGAGGUGUCUGUCGGCCCCUACUGGGAGGUGUCUCCCAGUCAGGCUACACGGGGGUUCAGGGACCCACUUCAGGAGGGAGGCUGUCCCUUAUCAGAGCUCAAACACUGUGCUGAGAGAUCCGCUGCUCUCUUCAGAGCUGCCAGGAGCUACUGGAAAUGAAGUAUUUUGGCUGAAUCCAUGCAACCUCUACACUCUGCACCACCCACACACCCAAAUAGAGCUCAAGACCUACAAGGAGGGUCUUCCGUGACUCCGAGCCAACCUGAAAUCUGUGAAGGUGACUUGAAGGGAAGAGCCUGGGGGAAGUAGUCAGGGAUAACUCAGAGGCACAGAAGCAGUUUUUUAUUUUAUAUACAACAUAUGGAACAUGUGAAAAUGAAAACCCUUUGGCUAAACUAGAGGAUACAAUAUUUGAUCUACCUCAUGUGCAAAAAUUACUUUACUUUUUAAAGUUCUCUAAACACAUUAAAAUACCCUGAUAACAAAAAGUUUUGGUCGAGAAAUGUAAUCCUUAAUUACUCAGGCAAUAACAGGAAUAGCAUAAUAAUGGAAUUGACAAAUUUAUAAGCAUAGGAGGAACUAAAAUUCAGAAAUAAGGCACAACUGUGCUUACAUAAAUUAUGUAUACAUAUAUAAAGAGAGAUUAAUAUUUUUAAGGCUACGAGUGUUAGCUUUGAAGCAAAACACUAUUCCCUAUAUUUCAAGUUGUUACAAAAGCCAAAAGUCAAAAAUUUCAUAUCUCAUAUGCUUAAACCUCCUCCCCCAACAAACUUUAUUAUAUCCUGUGUUUUAUACUAGCCAUAAAACUAUAUUCCUAGUAACCAUUACAGACAAAAGAAUUCAAGAACAAGUACCUAAGUAUCUGAAACAUUACUGCACUGAUGUGGAUUUCACAGCUGUCUUAAAGUUCAUAGAUAUUUAUUAUUUAAGAAGAGAAUAGUCUUUAAUGUAAAUCUUUGGAAUUAAAUUUCAAGUAAAUCUCAUUUAUUUUAUAUAAUAUUCAUUUCAACUUCCAUGUAGAAAUAUGAAAUGCAAAAAACAGUAAUCACAGGUUAAAUCAGACAAACAAUGUGGUAUGUUAGAAAGAGCAAACCUUAAGGCUGAAUUAGCAGUUACCCAAUAUAAAUAAUUCAGGGCCUUCCUACUGUUACUUCUGAAUUAUGCAGUAAUUUUCAUUGUCUUUUUAAAAUUCCAGCAAAUAUAUAUAUUCAUGAAGGAUUACAUAAGAGCAGAAAAUCAUGUGUAAAGAAACUAAUGAUGUUACUAUUUGCAUAAAACUUUGGAAUAAUUAUGGGUAAAUGCAAAUGUGAGCUAGACAAGAAAAGAAAUAUAGCAAAUACUUUUUAAAGUUUUACAUAAAAGUAGCUAAUGAGUUAUUAUGUAUCAAUUAAAAUUAUGAUGAAAACUUUAUAACAACGGAAAUGUCUUUAUGUUUAAUAGAAAAAAACCAGACAUGAUUCCAAGAAUAAAACAAAAUCCUAGAUGAACAGAGACUAGAAGAACCAGGAAGUGAAAAUAUUUGUGUCAAGAUGAUAGAACAAUGAGAUAUAUGCUUUAAAAAUCCUUCAAUUAAAACAUAGCUAAGUUUUUUAAACAUUGAAGGAAAAUGAAUGCACCUCAAAAAUUUACUUCCAAACAAGUAUUAUACUUCCUAGUUAUAGGAUAUAUAUAUAAUGUAAUAUCAACAGCUAUUAACUGAGAAAAGGCUUCCUUUGAUACCUUGACGGUAACCUCAGCAGAAAGGCUACAAAAGCACUUUCCUGGGAGAGAUUAGAAGACAAGCUUAUUAAUAAUUUCUGCCACAACAUAAAAUGUGGGAGGCAAAGGUUUAGGUAGUGCAAACAAGGAAUCACAUCCUAGAUUGAAAUAAACUCUAUGGAUUAUCAGUAGAUUAAAGUCAUUCAUAGCUCCAUUAUAUUUGUUUAGUAAAUCAUAUACUAGAUUUCAUAUUUGCUUCAGUUUGUGAACACAAGAUCAGUCAAAUUUUCUGUCUCUCUGUAUCUCCAUAUAACAACAUUUCAAAAGCUAGCAUGCCUUGUUAAUAACACUCUCCAAAGGUGAGUACUCAAAAAUACAAAGUAGGUGCUACUUUGGCACUCAGAAACCUGCUCUUGAUUAACUCUUGAUUAAGCCAAAGUCAUCUUAAUUGUAAAUAAAUUUUAAUCUACUAAUCCCCAAAAAUGCCCAAGAGCUUUUAUUCUUGUCAUAUACAUAUACACACAUAUAUACACAUAUAUAUAUAUGAAUGCACACAGAGACCCAAACAGAUGUAAUAUUACACUUAGAUGUAGUAGCACCUUAAAGGUAAUUAUCAAAAAGGGUGCAAUAAAAUUUUCUAUCAAAUGAUCUUAUCUCAGUUCCUACCACUUAGGAUUAUAAUAAUUUAUGUUCCAUCUAUCGCCAUCAUAAGAUUUAGAUCUCCUUAAAGGUAGUGUCACUAAAUGAUACCAUUUUUAGAUUCAAAGCAAGUUUUUAUUUUUAUUUUUGGAGACAGAGUUUCGCUCUUGUCACCCAGGCUGUAGUGCAAUGGCGCAAUCUCGGCUCACUGCAACCUCUGCCUCCCAGGUUCAAGUGAUUCUCUUGCCUCAGCCUCCCGAGUAGCUGGGAUUACAGGGGUGCACCACCACGCCUGGCUAAUUUUUGUGUUAUUAAUAGAGACAGGGUUUCACCAUGUUGGCCAGGCUGGUCUCGAACUCCUGAUUUCAGGUGAUCCACCCGCCUCGGCCUCCCAAAGUGCUGGGAUUACAGGCAUGAGCCACCGUGCCCAGUCUCAAAGCAAGUUUUUAAAUAAGUAACUGGCUGAAUAACUAAGAAAUAGUUUUCAAAUUAAAAUUCAAGGGGAAAAUAAGAAAAUGUUAUAUCAACAUUACCAAGAGCUGUCUGGAAUAAAGACAUAGUAAAGGCAUUCAUGCAUGCAACAACUGUCGUCAAUCUAAAUGAUGCCUAAUCAUGCUACUAUUUCAAACCUAAAAGGUAAUUCAAAAUUCUCUCGAUAAUGAGAUAAUGCCGUAACAGGCAGGCAUAAAGGAGCUAAAAAUACAAAUGAUCAAAUAUGGAUAAAUGACAGAAAAGGGAAAGAAAAUGAAAAGGUCGCUUGCAGUAAUUUAAACUUUCAUGUCAACUCUAUUUAUCUCUUUGAAUUAAAGUCUGCCUUUAUCAGCAUCCACUGGUAUCAUAAUCACUUUGAAGACAGGAAGCCUACUGAACUUUCAGUCGGUACUUCCUUGGAACAUAUUUGUUAUCAAGGCAUGAAUUCAUAUUUAAAGCAGCUAAUAAUUAUUGAGAGCAAACAAAUUUAAAACCAACAUUCUAAUUCAUUAGUUGGUUCUUAUACAUAUUCAUCAUCCUCAUUUGGGAAAGGGGUUUGAUUCCAAUAUCACAGCUGAGUAUUCUCACAAUAUUUUUAGAAUGGAGAAGGGUCAUUAUUCUUGACAUGGAGGGGAAAUCAUUAAAAAUUUAUAUGUAGAAAUAUUAAUAGUAUGAAUGAAAAAGCUAACAUUUGAACAUGGAUUAAAAUAGAUGAAUAUAUAAAAUAUCAUAAAUAACCUUAAUUAUUCAGCAGAUUUGGUUUUGAACCAUUUUAGUUUUUCUGCAUGUCUGGAAAUAAUUCAACAAUUAAACUACAUGGUGCUGGUCUUUCCCUUGUCAACAGACUAUUUGCCAGUAUUUGUCAUUUGUCCUUAAUUUAACCUCUAAACCUAGAAGUACAUGGGUUUAUGGUCUCAUUCAGUUUUAUUAUUCAGACUACAUGCUAAACUAGAAAGUAAGAUCAGCAUUAGGCAAAGGUUCUAAAAAACUGAACUUUUAAGACUGAUUCCAUUUCAACUGUUUGUCUAAAUUCCAACUAUUACAUCAUUCUGAGGCACUGAACUGAGCUUUUAGAACAACAAAUAAAUUAUGGUGAAAAUUAACAUCUGUUUAUUGUUACAAUUUCUUCUGUAAGAGGUACGUAUGUCUUAUGAGGAUAACAGAGAUCUGUAAUAUGCUAUUUGCAACAUGUAUCAGACAGAUUUACUAGCCUUUAGAAAUCCAGUAUUCAUUUAUGGCCCCCAGCAGAUUAUAUGUGAUGUUAUAAUAACAUACCUUCUAGGAAUCUGAGUCUAUAUUACAAAAAAAAGAAAAGAUUUUUCUAGAUACCUGUCUUAAUCAUUAAAUGUCCUUUCCUAACAAGAUAAAAUAUUACCUCAUUAUUUAGAAAUUUUUAUUUUUAUGAACAAUUUACUUUGAAAAGCAUUACUCCGUCCAUUUUAUAGCUCAUAUAAAUCUAUUUUAACUAAUAAUUCAUUCACUCACAAAAGGCUGUAAAGCUCAGUAUUUAAGGAUCUGAUUUUUGGAGCCAAAUUCCUUUGAAUCCUGGCUCUAUUUCUUCUGAGCCAUGCAACUCGAGUGAGUUUCUUAUCCUAGUUGUGGCUCUGCCACCUCAUUCUCUCAUGUGAGAUGACAACAGCAAAGGGGAGCAAGUGAGUUAAUACAUGCCAGGCACUUGGCAUGUGGUAAGCAUGUGAUGACUAUUAACAAUAUCAAUUUUGCAAUAAUUUUUAGCAACUACUAUGUACCAGGUACUGUUCUAGGAAUACAGUAAACAGCUGUGAUAAGACAGGCAGAGUCCCUGCCCUAUUGGAUCUCAUGUUCUCAUGAGGGAGACAGGCAACAAGCAAAUAAAUCUACAAUAUAAUGUGUCAGGGAUAGAAGCCAUAAGAACAGAGCUAUAUGAAGAGACAGACUGAAUAGCACACUGUUUACCUAUCAACAUGGCUCUGCUGCACGAGGGAUCAUGGCCCCACCUGCAAGUCAGGAGGCAGCAAGGCAGAGAGAAUAGGCUUUGGAUCCCCUCAGAACUGAGGUAUAGGACUGACUCCACUAUUUUAUUAAUCUCUCUAAGCCUCAGUUUCCUCUCUGCAAAACGGCAAGAAUAACAGCAACUAAUUCAUAGAGUUAAAUGAGCUGAUGCUUGAAAACAGCAUAGCAUAGUGUACCAAUAUGAGCACUAAAUUAAAUAACAAUGAUUAUGAGCACUCAAAAAAAGCUACAAUAACUACUGUCGUUUCCAACUCUCUCUACUCCAAACCCUGGGCCCAUAAACUAGAUGUCUCACUAAUCCCUCAAACUCCACCUUUCCAAAAAUGAACUCAUCAUCUUAGCUGAGAGUAGCUCAUCCUCUUUUCUUCAUCCAUUCCCUAAUAUCCAGUGACACCCACGAUGUAUUGCCGCCUUCAGUGACAGUCCUCAAGCUGCCCAAGAUGGGAGUCUACCAAACUUAUACUACAUUUCUUCAAGGCUUAGUUCAAAUGCCAUAAAAAAGCCUUUACUGGCAUGUCCAGAUGGGGUCACAGCUUUCCUUGCCUAUGUUCUCAGGGGGCCAUGUUUGUACUGAUUCAUACAGCAACUCAACCAGUGGAAUGACCUGCUCCCCCAACUAGAAUGAGCCUCCUGGAGGGCAGGUGCCAUUUCCGCAAUAGGCACUGGGCAUGGCACAGUCUACAGUGACCUACACCCUGGAGAGGCCAUCCCUGCUGGGCAUCACACACCACUGGCACCAUGUUCAUGGAGCCCCCACCUCCUCUGCACACUUGCAUGUGCUGGCUUUGCACUUGGCCUCCACUGUCACCACUAGACACCCAGAGGAGGGAGGUCUAAAGCUACCUGAUUCUUGGGGUCUCCAGCUCCAUACUCAUCCAACAUGCCAUGCUGGAAGGGAGGCCCACCCUCCCCUGAGCUUGGGAAGCCCGAGCACCUGGCCUCCGUCUGCCUUAAUGGGCUGAGCCCCAGCUCCCUCCAGACACAGGGUGUAGACUUCUCCAGGAAGCAAAGGGGUUCAAAUGCUGGGCAACCAAAGAGAGACAAAGGGUCAUGACACAGCCUUCCAAAUGGUGUGAAGAUUUCAUUACUGUUGAGCAACUUGGCCUUGAAUCUCAAUGUUCUAUUUCCUGUG